CGGAAGUCGUGGUGGAUCCCCGCGCGUUCUCUCGAGCUCACCUCGCCAGCCGCUGGGCCGUUCGGCCCCUGCCCGGAGGAAAGUCCGUGGCAGGGAAUGAGGAGCUACUCUAUCCCCACCAUGGUACUGAGCGCUUGGGUAACAAUCUUUAGCAUCGAUGAGCUACCAGUGUGGAUGGACAGCCCCAGAACUUAGCACAGCACUUGGCACAACAUUCUCCUCAGACUAUUGGAUGGAUGAGCAGAGAAAAAUGCAAACAAGAUUAAUGCAUGUUAGUACAAUGACCUCAAAAAUUAAAACCAAAGCCAUCUGAAGAGGAACUGCUUCAACUUUCACCAAAUCUACAGAUUCAUAUGUAUCUAUACUUAGGUGGAUUUAAAAACAUGAUCACAAUAUUUUACACUUCCUACUAUCAAGAUAGAGUCUACUUGCCCACUCUUUCAAUCUGGGCUGCUCUUGUGUCUUGCUUUAACCAAGAGAAAGUGAUAUUGUGUGAGUUCCAGAGUCCAGGCCUCAAGAGACCUUAAGCUUUCACCUUUGCCCUCUUAGAGCAGCCCACAUGGUGUAAGUAAGUUUGAGCUUGACUGCUGAAUAGGAAAUACCAUGUGCAGAGGCCCAGCCAAGAGCCAGGACCAAGGAUACGGACAUAGACAUAAGGUCAUCUUAGACCCUGCAGCUCCUGUUUAGCCACUGCCUGCAGCCACAUGACUAACUUCAGGUGAGAUCAACAGAACCACUCAUUUAAGCCUAGUCAACCUAUGGAAUUGUAAGAACUAAUA